GAACAUAUACCCGUUUUGAACGAAGGCCACCCAGUGGUCCAAAUAUCCCCUUGCGGAUCCCACAGAAAGAGUGUUUCGAAACUUCUGUUUCAAAAGGAAUCUUCAACUCUGUGACAACUCUGUGAGUUGAAUGCAGUCAUCACAGCAAACUUUCUGAGAAUGCUUCUGUCUAGUUUUAUAUGAAGAAAUCCCGUUUCCAACGAAGGCCUCAAA
rnacentral:lncRNA from 10 species